CUGUCGGCCUCCCACCCCUUUCUAGGCGCAGAGGGGUCCCCCAGAGUGACAGAGACAGUUCUGUGCUGGGCCGACAGGGAGCGGGGCUCGCGGGGACCCAGGAUGGACUUCCUAGGCCUGCAAGGACUUCAGCGGAGGCUCAUUCAUUCAUCCGCUCACUCACUUGUCCCUUCAAGAAACUGUCUCGAGGCCCGCCAUGUGCCUGGUACCGGGGCUAUACCAGGGACUGCCACCGUCUCCGACCUCAUGGGACCCAGGUCCCAGCAAGGGAGACCGCCAGCCAGCACACAGAGUCACCCCCAAGGACACCCUGUGCCUGCUGGUGGCAGCUCUCUCCAGGCAAGAGGAAGAGAGUGUCCCCCCCACCCCCGCCGGGCUCUCCCUCCCACCUCCUGAGUGGAUAUUCUUACUCUCCUCCCUCCAUCCGCCUGCUCUUGAUGACGCACACAGACUCCAGCAGCCGUCAUGACUCUCCACUCACAUCCGUUGUCAUUGUCGCGCUAUGGAGCUCCUGCCGAGGUCCCCAGUGACAAGUGCCAGGGUCAACGGCUGUGACUUCCGCUGGGAUCCCAGAGCUGGCAGGGAAGGAAGGCAACUCAUCACAAACACGGGUAUGCAAGCGAUGUCUCCCCGACUCCUUUAAGUACAGGGAAUGCUGAGGCCCAGGUUUGGUGGCGCCCCAGGUAGGAGUCGGGGGGGAGAGGGGGAGGGGCAGGCGAGCCUCCCGCCGUGUCCAUAAGGUGGCCGCCUCCUCCGGCUGCCCACCUGGACCACUACACAGCACAUGCAGACCCGUGCCUGAGAGUCACUCCUGGUCCCAUGGACGCCCCAGGGCACCGGGUCGGGGUGAGGGAGAAGUGCCAGGGUGGGUUGGUGUCUCACAGAGAGGAGGGAGGGUCACCGGGGCAGGAAGGGUCAGAGAAGGCCCCCCUGGGCAGUGAGUCUUAAAAGGAUGUCUGGGGUGAAUUCUCAUGGCCGACCGGCAGGACGAGGGAGAACUCGUCAUUUAGGACAGAGCUGUCCCAGCCCCAGGCGAGGGGGGCCUGGGGUCCAGCCCCAGGGUGGUGCGGGCUCGGUCAGGUCUCCAUGUGUGAGCGGAUAGGUGCUCCAAGCUCUGUACCUGUCAGGGGGUUUGGGAGAGUCUAUUGGGGAGGGAAGAACAGGGGUUCCAGUCCUUCCCAGGGCUGCCUCCCAGAGCCAUAAAUUACGUCCAUUAUGUGCUGGAUGUAAAUUAUGGUUUAUUAGUUUCCUAGAGCGUCUGUGACAAAGUCCCGCAGAUUGUGCGGCUUAAAGCACGGAAAUUUAUUCUCUCGUGGUUCUGGGGGCCAGAAGCUCUAAAUCAAGAUGUCAGCAGGGUGUGCUUCCUCUGAAAGAUCUGGGGGACAAUGUGUUCCUUGUCUCUCUCCCAGCUUCUGGUGUUGCCAGCCAUCCUUGGAGUUCCUGGGUUUGAGGACGGGUCCCUCUGACCUCAGCCUCUGCCACCCAUGGCUGAUUGUCCCCGUGUCUCUGUGUGUCCUCUCCUCUUCUUAUAGGGACGCUAAGCAUUGGAUUUAGGGCCCACCCUAUUCCGGUCUGACCUCAUCUUAACUAAUUAUAUCUGCAGUGACCCUAUUGUCAAAUAAAGUCACAGUCGCAGGUACCAGGGGUUAGGACGUGGACGUGUCUUCUCGUGGGGAACGCACGAUUUAAUCUACAAUGGAUAGUAAAGUGUCUCCCUCCCUUUAGGAACCACGGGGUGUGGGCUGCGGGAUGUGGCCCGUGGUUCAGUCCCCACUGACGGUCGCCCAGGUGUGGCCUGUGCUGGCUGUAUUUCACCCGGAUUCCCGGGGACUGCCACACCCCGGGAGUCACCAGGGCUGCCCGUGUCGGUGGCUUUCUGAGGACAAGCUGAAGCUGUUGGCAUUAAGUGGGGGCUCCGGAAACGUCUGCCCUACAGGCUGCUCCAGCCUCCGAGGCGACCCGAGAGAUAAGUGGGUGGAACCGAGGCUCAGUCGUGGGCAGCCGCGACGAGCAGAGACACUGAGGCUCAACCCCGGCCGGGGUGUCUGGGGGCCAGUCUGCUCCAGGUGGGGGCUGUGUGGGGGCUCCAGCGAAGCCGCCUGAAUGAAGUGGCAGACGCUCGGCCCCGGACCAGCUCCUCUGGAGAAGAAUGCCAGCCGAAACUCCUAUGGCCGGUGGCCUGGCCUGGUCGAACAGAAUUAGGGCUUUUCUUGCAGAAGUGGAGCAGGCUAAUCUGGAAGGGGUGUUGGGGGCAGGCACACAUGCUCACUGUCACCUCUCCACCGACUGAUGGCAAGUACCGUCCGCAGGAGCGUGGACAGGGUCAGGCACUGUCUUCUGUCGGGGACACGCUGAGCCCGUCGACGAUCCACCGAGGGACCCCACGCUGGCCUCCAACCAGGUGGGCACCCGAGGAGAAGCCUGGAUGCCGUACGUCCAGCAGCAAUAGCUCGGUCUUCCAGGAGGAUCUCUGGGCUCCAAGAGGCCCCGACAGAGCAGG